AUGGACGUUAAGACGGCUUUCCUCAAUGGAGAGUUGAAGGAGGAAAUUUACAUGGAUCAGCCAGAUGGUUUUGUAGUACCUGGUCAGGAAGGAAAGGAUUUCUUAUCUCGCUGUUUUGAGAUGAAGGAUCUAGGAGUAGCUGAUGUUAUCUUAAACAUCAAGCUGUUGAGAGAUGAGAAUGGUGGGAUCACACUGCUUCGGUCUCAUUAUGUGGAAAAGUUCUUGAGUCGUUUUGGGUAUAGCGACUGCACGCCUUCUCCAACUCCAUAUGAUGCUAGUCUGAGUCGGUUUGUGUCAAAACCGGGAGAUGAUCAUUGGCAUGCGCUUGAGAGAGUUACGCGCUAUUUGAAAGGCACCGCGAGCUAUGGGAUUCACUACACCGGGUAUCCAAGGGUACUCGAGGGUUAUAGUGACUCAAACUGGAUAUCUGAUGCUGAUGAGAUUAAGGCCACAAGUGGUUAUGUUUUUACACUUGGUGGUGGCGCUGUUUCCUGGAAGUCUUGCAAGCAGACCAUCUUAACAAGGUCAAUUAUGGAAGCAGAACUCACAGCAUUAGACACUGCCACUGUUGAAGCAGAGUGGCUUCGUGAACUCUUGAUGGACUUACCUAUGGUUGAAAAACCAAUACCCCCUUAUCCUGAUGAACUGUGA
rnacentral:rRNA from 1 species